rnacentral:tRNA from 1 species
GGCCUUGUGGCUCAGUGGUAGAGUGCUUGCCUUGCAUGCAUGAGGCCUUGGGUUUGAUUCUUCACAGUACCA